UACGUAGGUGACAAGCGUUGUCCGGAUUUACUGGGCGUAAAGAGCGCGCAGGCGGUCGUUCAAGUCGAGUGUGAAAGCCCCCGGCUCAACUGGGGAGGGGCAUUCGAUACUGAUCGACUCGAAGGCAGGAGAGGGUAGUGGAAUUCCCGGUGUAGUGGUGAAAUGCGUAGAUAUCGGGAGGAACACCAGUGGCGAAGGCGACUACCUGGCCUGUUCUUGACGCUGAGACGCGAAAGCUAGGGGAGCGAACAGG
rnacentral:rRNA from 1 species